AUUGAACGCUGGCGGCAUGCCUUACACAUGCAAGUCGAACGGCAGCACGGGAGCAAUCCUGGUGGCGAGUGGCGAACGGGUGAGUAAUAUAUCGGAACGUGCCCAGUCGUGGGGGAUAACGCAGCGAAAGCUGUGCUAAUACCGCAUACGAUCUAUGGAUGACAGCGGGGGAUCGCAAGACCUCGCGCGAUUGGAGCGGCAGAUAUCAGAUUAGCUAGUUGGUGAGGGAAAGGCUCACCAAGGCGACGAUCUGUAGCUGGUCUGAGAGGACGACCAGCCACACUGGAACUGAGACACGGGCCAGACUCCUACGGGAGGCAGCAGUGGGGAAUUUUGGACAAUGGGCGAAAGCCUGAGCCAGCAAUGCCGCGUGCAGGAUGAAGGCCUUCGGGUUGUAAACUGCUUUUGUACGGAACGAAACGGUGAGCUCUAAUACAGUUUGCUAAUGACGGUACCGUAAGAAUAAGCACCGGCUAACUACGUGCCAGCAGCCGCCGUAA
rnacentral:rRNA from 1 species